rnacentral:rRNA from 1 species
GGGUUGUGAGGUUAAGCGACUAAGCGUACACGGUGGAUGCCCUGGCAGUCAGAGGCGAUGAAGGACGUGCUAAUCUGCGAUAAGCGUCGGUGAGGUGAUAUGAACCGUUAUAACCGGCGAUUUCCGAAUGGGGAAACCCAGUGUGUUUCGACACACUAUCAUUAACUGAAUCCAUAGGUUAAUGAGGCGAACCGGGGGAACUGAAACAUCUAAGUACCCCGAGGAAAAGAAAUCAACCGAGAUUCCCCCAGUAGCGGCGAGCGAACGGGGAGGAGCCCAGAGCCUGAAUCAGUGUGUGUGUUAGUGGAAGCGUCUGGAAAGGCGUGCGAUACAGGGUGACAGCCCCGUACACAAAAAUGCACAUAUUGUGAGCUCGAUGAGUAGGGCGGGACACGUGGUAUCCUGUCUGAAUAUGGGGGGACCAUCCUCCAAGGCUAAAUACUCCUGACUGACCGAUAGUGAACCAGUACCGUGAGGGAAAGGCGAAAAGAACCCCGGCGAGGGGAGUGAAAAAGAACCUGAAACCGUGUACGUACAAGCAGUGGGAGCCUCUUUAUGGGGUGACUGCGUACCUUUUGUAUAAUGGGUCAGCGACUUAUAUUCUGUAGCAAGGUUAACCGAAUAGGGGAGCCGAAGGGAAACCGAGUCUUAACUGGGCGUUAAGUUGCAGGGUAUAGACCCGAAACCCGGUGAUCUAGCCAUGGGCAGGUUGAAGGUUGGGUAACACUAACUGGAGGACCGAACCGACUAAUGUUGAAAAAUUAGCGGAUGACUUGUGGCUGGGGGUGAAAGGCCAAUCAAACCGGGAGAUAGCUGGUUCUCCCCGAAAGCUAUUUAGGUAGCGCCUCGUGAAUUCAUCUCCGGGGGUAGAGCACUGUUUCGGCAAGGGGGUCAUCCCGACUUACCAACCCGAUGCAAACUGCGAAUACCGGAGAAUGUUAUCACGGGAGACACACGGCGGGUGCUAACGUCCGUCGUGAAGAGGGAAACAACCCAGACCGCCAGCUAAGGUCCCAAAGUCAUGGUUAAGUGGGAAACGAUGUGGGAAGGCCCAGACAGCCAGGAUGUUGGCUUAGAAGCAGCCAUCAUUUAAAGAAAGCGUAAUAGCUCACUGGUCGAGUCGGCCUGCGCGGAAGAUGUAACGGGGCUAAACCAUGCACCGAAGCUGCGGCAGCGACACUAUGUGUUGUUGGGUAGGGGAGCGUUCUGUAAGCCUGUGAAGGUGGCCUGUGAGGGUUGCUGGAGGUAUCAGAAGUGCGAAUGCUGACAUAAGUAACGAUAAAGCGGGUGAAAAGCCCGCUCGCCGGAAGACCAAGGGUUCCUGUCCAACGUUAAUCGGGGCAGGGUGAGUCGACCCCUAAGGCGAGGCCGAAAGGCGUAGUCGAUGGGAAACAGGUUAAUAUUCCUGUACUUGGUGUUACUGCGAAGGGGGGACGGAGAAGGCUAUGUUGGCCGGGCGACGGUUGUCCCGGUUUAAGCGUGUAGGCUGGUUUUCCAGGCAAAUCCGGAAAACCAAGGCUGAGGCGUGAUGACGAGGCACUACGGUGCUGAAGCGACAAAUGCCCUGCUUCCAGGAAAAGCCUCUAAGCAUCAGGUAACAUCAAAUCGUACCCCAAACCGACACAGGUGGUCAGGUAGAGAAUACCAAGGCGCUUGAGAGAACUCGGGUGAAGGAACUAGGCAAAAUGGUGC